AAAUAGAACUUUGCAGAGAGAGUUAACAGGGCGUGAAACCGUUAAUUGGCAAACGAAUCGGAGCCACGAAGUCGUUUCGCUGUUGAGUUUGGGUUCAGUUAGGUAACUCUAAAAAAGUUAUCUGGUGUAUUCUCAGACUAACCAACUUUGUAAGCGUACACUGCAACCAGUUAGACGAUUGGUGAUGGGCCCAGUUGGUUGAGGUUUCGGCCUCUUCUAAUGCAGCAUCUGUCUAUCCGAGUCAGUAGUAGCGUGGCUGGCCUCACGGCUUGUUUCAUGUUGCUGGGCUUGUGGUAGGUGAACUAUCAGCAAAAACUGACUGGCAAAAUGAAAAUCGCCGCAAGGCGUUACAUAGAAAGCGGUGCCUGCAUUUGGGGCCACAUGCUUGGCCAUGCGGUUUUAAGCUCAGCAUUCUUGAAUUUGGACUUGCUCGCUACCAGUGGGGCAACUCCUGGCGCUUGUAUAGCUUUCAUCUAAUCGGGUGUUGACUUGACUACAUGUCGUUCAAGUAUGCUACGAUAAACCCUGAAUGCAAGGUAACUCGCCAUCUUAUUGGCAGUGAGUAGGUCGGCUUUCCGAACGACCCGUCUUGAAACACGGACCAAGGAGUCUAAUUAGGCAUCAGUCGAUCGGUCUUGAUAGGCCAGACUAUCUGGUGUUAUCCAUCUGAAUGAAGGCUAAAAGAAAUCAAAUCAUGUGAUCAUGGCUGGCCAAAACUUCUACCGUGCGCAACAUGUGCCUGUUCAUAUAGCAAUGUUCCUCACGGAACUUGCUGGGCGGAACAAAUACAUGCCUGAUUGGUACCCGAAAGAUGGUGAACUAUGCCUGGGCAAAUUGAAGCCAGAGGAAACUCUGGUGGAUGAUUGUAUCGAUUCUGACGUGCAAAUCGAUCGUCAGACCUGGGUAUAGGGGCGAAAGACUAAUCCAACCAUC
rnacentral:rRNA from 1 species